GGGAGGCUGAGGCAGGAGAAUGGCAUGAACCCAGGGGGUGGAGCUUGCAGUGAGCAGAGAUGGCGUCUCUGCACUCCAGCCUGGGAGACAGAGCAAGAGUCUGUCUCAAAAAAAAAAAAAAAAAAAAAAGAAUGACAAUUCUGCAAGUUUAAUCUCAAGAUGAUCUUCAUCAGAUUCUAUAAAUUCCAUUCAUAUGACCAAAAACUUUAUAUAGCACAUCAAACCCUCUCUAGGACUUUAAAAGUCAAUGUAAAAAAUUGUAAUCUUCAGGAAUAUGCCCACCUUUGGGAAAAAAUUGUAAUGAUAUUAUACUUAGGUUUUAUUUUAUUUUUGAUACAGAAUCUUGCUCUGUCACCCAGGCUGCAGUGCACUGGUGAGAUCAUAGCUCACUGCUGCCUCAAUCCCCUGGGCUCAAGUGAUCCUCCCACCUCACCCUCCUAAUAUACUCAGUUUUUAAUUUUAAGUAGAGAUUGUCUACACUUGCAAUGUGUUAUUUUCUGACAAAGGCUUGCAAAUGAGUCAAAUCAUUUUUUCUUUCUCAUUAUUUGAAACAAAAUACAAGAUUUUAAAAAUAAGCCAAUUGAUGUUUAAAGUGCAAAACAGAGGCCAGGCACAGUGAUAAGCUUGUAGGGGACUUGGAGCUAGAGGCAGAGUUCUGAACUGGCUACCGGCACUGGACACUUCUGUUGAGGAAAAUAUCUGUGUGACAUAAACAGCCAAGAGCUUCAUAACUACGCCCUUCUCUUAAAAAUUCCUCCUAGGCUGGACGUGGUAACUCAUGCCUGUAAUCCCAGCACUUUGGGAGGCUGAGGUAUGAGGAUCACUUAAGCCCAGGAGUUCAAGACCAGCCUGGACAACAUAGUGAGACCCUGUCUCUACAAAAAAAAAAUCAACAUAAUUAGCUUGGUGUAGUGGCAUGCACCUGUAGUCCAAGCUACUCAGGAGGCUGACGUGGGAGGAUCAAUAGAGCUCUGGAGGUUGAGGAUGCAGCGAGCCAUGAUCACACCACUAUACUCCAACCUAAGUAACAAAGUGAGACUCUGUCACUAAAAAAUAAAGUGGGAGACUUCUCUACAACAGUGAGAAUGAAACAAGUGAGUAGUUCUACUGUCCUUUCAUCAUUUCUGAGCAGUUUGAGAUUAUCAACAAAUGAGCUCACUGAUUUUGCAGACAUCCUUAUGUUUUGAAUAUGUUUCAUAUAAUUUAUUAUUGGUUUAAGAAUCAUUUCCUUUUAAGUAAUUUUUUUGGCUCAGCUAAUAUCUUAGUGGUACCUACCUUUCCAUACUUUGUGAGCUUUCUUAUUUUUACUUGAAUAAUAUUUCUAAAUAUACUUGUAAAAAUGUAAAUGUUAGGCUGGGCGCAGUGGCUCACCCCUGUAAUCCCAGCACUCUGGGAGGCCGAGGCGGGUGGAUCACGAGGUCAGGAGAUUGAGACCAUCCUGGCUAAC
rnacentral:lncRNA from 10 species